GGAAAGAUGGCCGAGUGGUUUAUGGCAUUGGUUUGCUAAAUCAAAAUACAAAAUUUUUGUAUCGUGGGUUCGAAUCCCAUUUUUUCCA
rnacentral:tRNA from 1 species